GUGUCAGCAGCCGCGGUAAAACGUAGGUGGCAAGCGUUAUCCGGAUUUACUGGGCGUAAAGCGUGUGCAGGCGGGUGGACAAGUGGUGUAUGAAAUCGCCAGGCUAAACCUGGCGGGGUUAUGCCAGACUGUCCGUCUGGAGUGCGAGAGAGGGGCGUGGAAUUCCGGGUGUAGUGGUGAAAUGCGUAGAGAUCCGGAGGAACCCCAGAGGCGAAGGCGGCGCCCUGGCUCGCAACUGACGCUCAGACACGACAGCAUGGGGAGCGAACGGGAUUAGAAACCCGGGUAGUCC
rnacentral:rRNA from 1 species